ensembl:snoRNA SNORD82 Small nucleolar RNA SNORD82
AGCACAAAUGAUGAACAACACAGGGACUUAAUACUGAACCCUGAUGUUACAUUGCAAUGUGCUGAUGUGC